rnacentral:lncRNA from 1 species
GCCGUCCGUAGUUCUCAGUCCCCUCAUCUCUGAGUAGGAUUGUUCGGCGCCCCCAGCCGCGCGCACGCACGCGCUCGGGGGUGGAGCCUCGGUCCAGCCCCGCCCCCGGGCUCCGGCCUCCAGCUCAGCAUUCCUGUGCUUCUACACUGCUGUCGCGACACCUCUCCUCCGUUCCCGGCUUUCCUACCGAAUCCCGGGACAAUCCCUCGCCGCUGUCUUCACACGUGCUGCUCCUCAAUGUCUCACCCUUCAAACACCCAGCCGAUUCCAAGCAGGCCUGGGGUUAGUGGGUGAGGACCUCUUUGAUACUUGGAACCAAGGAUUGAUAUAUUCAGGAAAGGACCUAGGCAAAACAGGGAUCAAGACAAUCUGCUGGGGUCUUCGAUAUUUGGGGCCAUCCUCUCAGAAACUGCCAGUACCUUAUCCGUCCUGUGAGACUCUAAUCAAUAAAUUCAACCUACAGACACACAGUGCCAGUUCCUAA